CCCGUCAUUGUGCAUUUAUGUAUGAUACUUUUUGUAAUUUAGUCUAUAUGCCUUUUUGUGUUUCUUUUUUACACAUGACGUGGCUCUGUACUUAUACAUCCCGUCAAUGUGUUAGAGUUUUUAUAAUUGUUGUAUUUUUAUAUUUAUUUUUGCUUAUGUGCUUUGUCUAUAUGCCUUUUUGUAUUUCUUUGAUACAUAUGACGUAGCUCUG
rnacentral:lncRNA from 1 species